UUAACAAGGUCACUCCCAGGUUGUGUGACUUCGGGCUGAUUGAGUAUGAGAGUCCUCAGCUGCUAGCAAUGCCAACUUCACAGGGCAGGCAAUGACAGCAGUUGGGAACACAGCAACACUUCUUCCGGCUUAUGGCGGCCUCACAAACAUCUGGAAAAUACUCACUUGGGAGCAGGCCAGACGGCUGCAGGAAAUUGGAGACAGAAGAGGAGACACAGAUAUACACACAGAAGAUUAGAAGACGGAGGAGGAGACAGGAGAGAUACAGCCACAAGCCAAGGAAUGCUGGCAGUCACCAGCUGAAAGGGGAAAGAAAUAGAUUCUCCCGAUGCAGCUAGAAGUUGGUAUGCUGUGAAAAAGAAAAUGAGAUUUCACCCCUAGAGUCUCUGGAGGGCAUGUGAUCCUAUGAUACAUUGAUUCUGGACUUCUGACUCUAGAACUGUGAAAAAAUACAUUUCUGGGUUUUUUUUA